UGGGGAAUAUUGCACAAUGGGCGCAAGCCUGAUGCAGCCAUGUCGCGUGUAUGAAGAAGGCCUUCGGGUUGUAAAGUACUUUCAGCGAGGAGGAAGGCGUUGUGGUUAAUAACCGCAGCGAUUGACGUUACUCGCAGAAGAAGCACCGGCUAACUCCGUGCCAGCAGCCGCGGUAAUACGGAGGGUGCAAGCGUUAAUCGGAAUUACUGGGCGUAAAGCGCACGCAGGCGGUCUGUCAAGUCGGAUGUGAAAUCCCCGGGCUCAACCUGGGAACUGCAUCCGAAACUGGCAGGCUAGAGUCUUGUAGAGGGGGGUAGAAUUCCAGGUGUAGCGGUGAAAUGCGUAGAGAUCUGGAGGAAUACCGGUGGCGAAGGCGGCCCCCUGGACAAAGACUGACGCUCAGGUGCGAAAGCGUGGGGAGCAAACA
rnacentral:rRNA from 1 species